ACUAGUAGUCAAUGGGUUGAAAGAAGCAAUGCUCCACCAGCCCUCCCAGUCGUGGUGCUUUGCAGCUGGCAGGUUAUUUUUGCCAUGGUUUACUAAAUAUGGUCAGAGAGGGAAUGGCAUGAGAAGAGGCCACUUGCUGUCCGGAGCAUGUUUCAGAUGCUUAGCUGGGUAUAUAAGCACUUGAAAGGUGGAUUCCCUUUUUGAUCACAGAGUUUUUGGAAUUCUUUUCUUUUUUUUUUUUUUUUGCUUGGUUUCUUUUGCUCCUAGUAAAGUUGGACACACUCUCCGCACAGUUUACUAUGUAAUUUCACUCUUACCUCUAUCAAAAUGAAUCUCUGGUGUAGAGGAUCAAAGAACACACCGUGGAUACAGCUAUAUUUUGGAAACUGGGAAUUACUACUUGUAAAAAGGCCUGUUCUCUUUUUCCUUUCCUGCAUUAGAGAUUGGCUCUGGGAGAGGGGAAGGCGGUUGCAGCAUAAUAUUACCUUGUGAUUCUAUGACCCUCCUCUCUGCAUCCCUAACUCUCAAAAGCUGAUUCAGCUAUCAGCUUGUGCUCUGGUGACUCCACUGCUGCAACAGACUCUUCUAACAGGAUCCCUGUGCAUGUAAUAAUACUCUUGCUGUUUGGAGGGAUACUGGACACAUUUAAACAUGAAAACAAUGAGAGUAGAGGGCACAGUCUUUGUCUGUAAUGUGCCGAGAUGCCCCUCGCCUGCUGCAGACCUUCAUCUCGGGACUUAAGAGAGGAGCUGUAAGCAUGAUCAUAUUCACAAGCAAGCUACAGUGAAGGUCACAGUACAGAUAUUUCACUUUCAGGAUGUUUCAUACACAGUACCCAAACCAUAUGUUUGCAUACAGUUACAGUACUGUGUUUACAAGUUACUGAAACGUUUGAGUUGAUUAUAAAGCCGCUAAAUAAAGAAUUUACUCCAAAAUCCUGUACAGGGAAGGAGAAAAAAAAAAAGAUGUACUGUCCUCUGUUAAGUUUGCAGUAGACAAUCAUGCUAAUUUAUAAGUAUUUUGGUGUAGAAGUUAAGACACUGAUCUUUGAUGUAAGUCUUGAUUGCAGUGUGUUGCUAGCUCUUGCAACUAUUAUUGCAAAUGUAAUACUUAUUACAUUGUAGUAAAUUAUAGUGAUGGAUGACCUCUGCAUUAUGAAGUUUUAUGUUUUCCAAAGGGUCUUUUAUAGUAUCAGCAAACAAAUAUCUAAAAUUGUUUGAAAAUAUGGUCUAGCAAUUGGCAAAAAAACUACAUACACAUUUGUUAGAAUUAUAUUUUAUAUACAUAAAGUCACUAUUUUAUAUAAACAUUUAUUAUACCCAGCACACUGUAUGAGUGCAUGCAUGUGCCUGUAUGCAACGCUCUAUAUGUAAUCUAUAGAAAGAAAAAUAAUGUACACCAUAAGUAUUUGUGUUAUAAUAAUAAAGGAGAGAGAGAGAAUAAAUAGAAAGAUAGGGAGAAUAAAUAGAAAGAGAGAAUAAAUAGAAAGAUAGAUAGAUGUAAAAUGAAGACAUAUGCAGUAAAUAGUAUAACAUGGUUUGCUGUGCUAGAUUAUGAGUGGAGAGUGCUUUGUGAUGGAUCAUAUGUUUAUUUGAAUUGUACUUUUAUCCCCUGGGAUUCCAGAUGUCUCAAUUACUCACUUUUCUUUUCACCUGAACCCAGACCAGGAAGACACAUCCUCUGUUUGGGACACAUACUUCUUUAUACGUCCAUAUGAAACUGCUACUACUAUGGAAUGUAAAGAAGUAUGUAUCUCAGGUGGGGAAUUGCUGCAGUGAGAUGAGAGGGAGAGCACUGGCGUGGUUUGAUCAAAGACAGAUAAUCCCUCACGUGCUCAUUUUACCAUACAGCUUUAGCAUGCAAUGAAGAUACCCAACAUAUCAUUGAGGUAGCUGUACCAGACAUAUAGAGUGACAAUACAUUUUGUUUUAUUGCAGUAAAUGAUUUCAAUUUGGUGCUGACUGUUUACUUGAAGUUCUAACUUCUAUCACUGACAGCAACCUAAAUCUAUAGUACUGGAGAAUUCAGAUAUUGAAAUGAAGAUGCAGAGAUGCUGUGUACGUAGUCAGUUGACCGACCCUCUUUCUAACAGUAUCUAAUCCCUUCAUCUUCAGUACAAUAUAUAAAUGCUUCAUUGAUACUGCAGUUGAACAAAUGAAAGAAAUCUAAGCUCUCAGUACGGCUACUAGUAAAUUGUAGGCCGCAACUUGCUCCAGGCAACUUGUUUAUUGGUCACUGUGAAAGUAUUGGCAAAAUCAUUUUACUUCAUUGCAGUGUUCUAAUCCACAUAAGGGUGUGUUAGUUUGUUCAGAGCAUUAAAUAGCAUUACAAUGAAUAUUGUAUUAGUAAUAGCCAUGAAUUCUACAACAUGAAACCCAAAAUAUUAAUUUCAUGAUUCAGAUAGAGAAUACAGUUUUACACAACUUUGCAAUUUACUUCUAUUAUCAAAUUUGCUUCAUUCUUUAUGAAGAAAAAGCAAUGUACAUGGGUGAACCAAUAACACAAGGUAUCUAUGUGCAGCCACCAAUCAGCAGCUCCGAGCCUAUUUAGAUAUGCUUUUAAACAAAGGAUAUCAAGAGAAUGAAGCAAAUUAGAUAAUAUAAGUAAAUUGGAAAGCUGUUUAAAAUUGCAUGGUAUUUCCAAGUAGUGAAAUAAAAAAAUGGGUUUCAUGUCCCUUUAAGUGACAGUGAAAGAUCUUUCUGAUUUGUUGGCAAAUCCAGCAGCAAAAGGGUCAAGUAAAAAAAACAAACAUGCAGUUAAAAAAGAAAGAACACAAAAAAAAAAGAAAAACCCUGAGCUAGCAGACUGAGAGAAGAGUCAAUUGAUGAUCUUGUACUCGUGUGUGUAUUGUUGUACCACUUUGACUAUGUCAGCAGGUGGACUGGCUCAUCAGAACAUUAAAUAUUCAAAAAGCUGACUGCGGCAGGCCCAGUGAGAGGUACCACAAGCAGAAAGAUAACUGCCCACGUUUGCUUUCCUAAAUUCUAAAGGUCUUUAAUUACUGUUAGUUUAGUUUGUUACUUUGUUCUUUUUCACAAUCAGAUCUGCUACACAGAUUCACAUAGUUCAAUAUCAGAAAACCCUGUAAAUGAAGUCUGGGCAUAUAAGAGUUUUGUCCCAUUGCAUGUUGAAAAUAGAAAUGAGCUCAUUCAAACCUAUGUGUGGGGAUACUUGUGUAUACUGAUGCAGCCUGCAGUGCAUGCGCUUACACUAACUUACGUAAACGGAUCCACUGAAUGUAUCCUUUUUCUUUAUUAAACUAAAACAAACUAUUUUGUCUUUAUUUUAAUAUAGACCAAAUACAUUUUAGAAAUUAGGAGACAGCUAGUUGGGACAGUUUUUGUAUUUUUGUUUUAUAUUCAUGAGCAGAAAUAUAGUGCAGUCUUUUAAAAGGAAGUAUAGAGGUAAUGUCAAUCUUCUAUCAGCAGGAAAUCCAUUGUAAUAGGGGGAUAUUAUGAGAUCCUUAUAAAUUAAGUGGUAGAGGCAAGUGAUUUCUAUAAAGGAAACGCCUAUGAAUUAUGUGUUCUUAGGUGCCUAAAUCUGUACUAGUCUGUCCAUAUGUCUGUAUAUUAGGCAGAAGGUUAAGCAAAUUAACUGAUGCUUGUGUAUUAAAGGCUGAUAUCUGUUUAUUAGAAGGUUAAAGGCGCAUGUUCUGAUGCCUAAGGAAGAGGUUAGAAGCAACUUUCCUAAUCUCUUUGCUUAUGGCAGACUGAGAGCGGUGCAUCUGCUCCUGUUGAGAUAUGUAGUAAUGUGAGUCCAUUAAGGGAAUAUGAAAACGUUGUGUCCUUAUGUGUUAUGUAUUAGGAGAAAAUAUAAGUCAUACAUAUGUGUUUGGGGGGGUGUAAUAUGAUAACAUGCAUGUUCUGGUACCUGGAUGAGAUAUAUAUAUUCAUGCAUAAUGUAACUGUUAUAUUGGCGCUUAAAGGGACCGUCUAAAGCAAAAAUAACAUGUCUAACCUUUACUAACCUAUGCUUACUUUGUUUUUAACCCCCUACAUGGGAGCUACAGCUCCUAAACAGGACAUGACCCCAGAAAUUGGAGGCUAUGAGCACCUGUCAUUUGGCUUGCUGCCAAGAUCUGCUUGGGAGCUGCAAUGCUUUCAACAUAUAAUGCACCCCCACCCCUGCAGAAACCCUAUAGUUACAUUUAUGCUUUUCCCAAUAUGAUUGCCCACUUUAUAUAUUUUCAGGUGUAUCCUACUUUCACAGCUGUUAAUUAUUCUGAGAGCUGGUAGCAUGGUGUAUACUACUAUAGAUAUGCAGACAUAGAAAGAACCCAGGAUGUCUUCAUAUUAUAAUAUAGAGGGGCAAAAUGGUAUUAUUGUGUGCAAAUGUUGAAUUGUACAAAGGAAUGUAUAUAAUUAACUAAUUAAGUGCAUUGUAUUAGUACAUCUCCCAAAUGAAUUAAUUCACAAGAAAAUGUUUUCUGCAUUAUGGCUCAUAUUACAUUAGUCCCUGUUUAGAGCAACAACAUUAUGAAUUCUCUGGUUUGCUGCUGCAGUGAAAGCCCAAACAAAUUGCCAAUUUGAGAAUUAUGUUUUGGCGCUGUAGAAUGUCUCUUAGGAAAUUAUAGGUCCCUAGUACUAAAAUGGUUGAAUUAGGAUCAUUUGCACUUGGCACUUUGCUUGGGCCAGGCAUUGAUACAAAGCUAUCACAUCUCACACUAGACAAGAUUUUCCCUGGAAGUAAAAGUAUCAGCAGGGCUGCUGGUGACGUCAGCAAUGUGCUAAUGCUGACUGUUGCAUUUUAAGGACAAAGCACCCUAUAGAAAAGGGAUCUAUGAGUAUUACAGGAAGCCUAUGACAUUUGCAUUUAACAUUGCAUGGCAGGCUGUGGUGUGCUUACACAUCUAGAUAGACAAUUAGAUUAGCUGCAUUUGUGUCUCAUAUAUUAUUUUAUGUUCACAAUAUAAAGGGAAAUAAAAAUCAUUGUAAUUAUAAACAUUGUAUUGUUAAAAUAUUAUAGCGCUGCGGAAUAUGUUGGCGCUCUACAAAUAACCGAUAAUAAUAAUAAUAAAAAAAAUAUAAUUUCAGUAAAAUAAUAAUAAUCAUUGCACCAUAUAAAUAUUAACACAACAUUCCUAUAUGUAUUAAAUAGUUGUAUUCCAUAAUGAAUCACACAUCACCCAAGAUACCUAUUGUAGCUUUACCACAGCCUGAGCCUAAGCUUUAUAAAUAGUCUUUAUUCCAAAGAAAGCUGUUGUUUCACAAUAUUGAUAUUGAUUUACAAAGGGUUAAAUCAUUUUAAAUGCAGCUAGAAUAUACAUUCAAAGGAUAUUAACCACUUAUUGGUUUUAUAUAAAAUGUAUCUUUCCUCAUGCUCUCUAGAUACACCAAAAAACAACAGCUAAACCAAGGGGAAAAAAAAACAACUACCUGGUAUGCGCUCAGUGCUUCCCCACAAAAAAUAUUUGGGCACUAAUUAAAUGAUCUUAGUAUUUUGAAUAUUCUAUUAUACUGGUUAGUGACAAAAUUGAAGUAUAUAUAUAUAUAUAUAUAUAUCUCAAUUCUGAAAAAUUAAAGGGUCUAAUGGACAGAAACGCAUUUAAAGGAGGGGGUUUUAAAAGGUAUUACUUUUUUUUUUAAAGGCUACUGAUCAGGCCUUAAAGGGGCAUUGUACACUAUAUUUUUCUUUGCAUAAAUGUUUUUUAGACGAUCCAUUUAUACAGCCCAUCUGGGAGUGUUUUUGUAAACAUGUAUAGUUUUGUUUAUUUUUAAAUAAUAUUGUGCUGAUUUCCAAACUCCUAACCAAGCCCCACAGUUUUAUAUGUAUACUGAUGUCUAUAGACUCCUGAUUGUGUAAUGGGCCUUUUCAUAUGCAGGGGAGGGGGAGUGUCUGCCUUUUUCUGCUUUCCCAGCCCCUUUCAGUGGGUGUCCCAGCCUAACAUCAUCAACCAUGCUAAACUGUGAGCUUCUAAGUAAGUUUUUAUACUGGAUUUUUAUAUCAGUAUCUGUGCAUAUUCUUCUUUAUAGUAGUGUCUAUUACAUGCAGUUAUACAAAAAUUGGUGUAUACUGUCCCUUUAACAUCCAGUUUCAUAAAAAUCUAAAUAAAUAUACAGAUUAACCUUAAAAGGACAUGAAACCCACAUUUUUUUAUUUUAUGAUUCAGAUAGAGCAUGCGAUUUUAACUAACUUUCUGAUUUGCUUCAAUUAUAAAAUUGUCUUCAUUCUCUUGGCUUCUUUUGUUCCAAAGCAGGGAGGAAAGCUCAGGAGUGUGCAUGUGUCUGGAUCACUAUAUGGCAGCAGUUUUGCAAGAAUGUUAGCCAUAUGCAAGAUCACUAGAUGGCAGCACUAUUUCCUGCCAUGUAGUGCUCCAGACACCUACCUAGGUAUUUGUUGAACAAAAAAAAUACCAUGGGAACAAUACAAAUUUGAUAAUAGAAGUAAACUGGAAAGUUUUUUAAAAAUUGUAUUCUCUGUCUGAAUCACAAAAUACAUUUUUGGGGUUUCAUAUCCCUUUAAUGUAUGUUCAUUUUAUAAAUCUGAGAGCUCUUGUCUUUUCUUUAAACCGCCAAUAUAGUAUUAAAGUGACAUACUCUAAUGAGUAUGCCAUUUUAACACUAGAGACACUGUAAUGUUAUGUAUUUAUCACUAAAGACACUGUAAAGCUAUGCAUUUAUCACUAUAGACACUGUAAUGUUAUGCAUUUAUCACUAAAGACACUGUAAUGCUAUGCAUUUAUCACUAGAGACACUGUAAUGCUAUGCAUUUAACAGUAGAGACACUGUAAUGUUAUGCAUUUAACACUAGAGACACUGUAAUGCUAUGCAUUUAACACUAGAGACACUGUAAUGUUAUGUAUUUAUCACUAAAGACACUGUAAAGCUAUGCAUUUAUCACUAGAGACACUGUAAUGCUAUGCAUUUAACACUAGAGACACUGUAAUGUUAUGUAUUUAUCACUAAAGACACUGUAAAGCUAUGCAUUUAUCACUAGAGACACUGUAAUGCUAUGCAUUUAACACUAGAUACACUGUAAUGUUAUGCAUUUAUCACUAAAGACACUGUAAUGCUAUGCAUUUAUCACUAGAGACACUGUAAUGCUAUGCAUUUAACACUAGAGACACUGUAAUGUUAUGCAUUUAACACUAGAGACACUGUAAUGCUAUGCAUUUAACACUAGAGACACUGUAAUGCUAUGCAUUUAUCACUAGAGACACUGUAAUGCUAUGCAUUUAACACUAGAGACACUGUAAUGUUAUGCAUUUAUCACUAAAUACACUGUAAUGCUAUGCAUUUAUCACUAGAGACACUGUAAUGCUAUGCAUUUAACACUAGAGACACUGUAAUGCUAUGCAUUUAACAGUAGAGACACUGUAAUGUUAUGCAUUUAACACUAGAGACACUGUAAUGCUAUGCAUUUAACACUAGAGACACUGUAAUGUUAUGUAUUUAUCACUAAAGACACUGUAAAGCUAUGCAUUUAUCACUAGAGACACUGUAAUGCUAUGCAUUUAACACUAGAGACACUGUAAUGUUAUGUAUUUAUCACUAAAGACACUGUAAAGAUAUGCAUUUAUCACUAGAGACACUGUAAUGCUAUGCAUUUAACACUAGAUACACUGUAAUGUUAUGCAUUUAUCACUAAAGACACUGUAAUGCUAUGCAUUUAUUACUAGAGACACUGUAAUGCUAUGCAUUUAACACUAGAGACACUGUAAUGUUUGCAUUUAACACUAGAGACACUGUAAUGCUAUGCAUUUAACACUAGAGACACUGUAAUGCUAUGCAUUUAUCACUAGAGACACUGUAAUGCUAUGCAUUUAACACUAGAGACACUGUAAUGUUAUGCAUUUAUCACUAAAGACACUGUAAUGCUAUGCAUGUAUCACUAGAGACACUGUAAUGCUAUGCAUUUAACACUAGAGACACUGUAAUGCUAUGCAUUUAACACUAGAGACACUGUAAUGCUAUGCAUUUAACACUAGAGACACUGUAAUGUUAUGCAUCUAUCACUAGAGACACUGUAAUGCUAUGCAUUUAACACUAGAGACACUGUAAUGUUAUGUAUUUAACACUAGAGACACUAUAAUGUUAUGUAUUUUACACUAGAUACACUGUAAUGUUAUGCAUUUAUCACUAAAGACACUAUAAAGCUAUGCAUUUACCACUAGAGACACUGUAAUGCUAUGCAUUUAACACUAGAGACACUGUAAUGUUAUGCAUUUAUUACUAGAGACACUGUAAUGCUAUGCAUUUAACACUAGAGACACUGUAAUGUUAUGUAUUUAACACUAGAGACACUGUAAUGCUAUGCAUUUAACACUAGAGACACUGUAAUGCUAUGUAUUUAACACUAGAGACACUGUAAUGCUAUGUAUUUAACACUAGAGACACUGUAAUGUUAUGCAUUUAACACUAGAGAUACUGUAAUGUUAUGUAUUUAUCACUAGAGACACUGUAAUGCUAUGUAUUUAACACUAGAGACACUGUAAUGUUAUGUAUUUAACACUAGAGACACUGUAAUGCUAUAUAUUUAACAAUAGCGACACCAUUUUAUAACAAUUUUUACCUUAUAUAUAUGUUUCUUGGUGUGCUGCUGAGUGUACUUUUUUAUGUACCAGAUACAUACAGGCAGUGGAACUCACACAACCAGUACUAAUCUAUGACUUACCACCAGUAUAAAUGCCUGUCUUGUCAGGUUUCCAGCACUAUGGCCUAAAUAUGUAGUGCAUGAUUUAAGUGGGAGCAGGAGUUGCACCAGCUGAGAAGGAAAUAUAUAUAUAAAAAAAAAAAUGACUAAAGCAAAAUAAACAUGACAUUUAAAAAACACCAAUCCUAAAAUAAUACUCUAAAUUUAGAAAUCUGACUGUAAGCACAAUGCAAGUGGCACCUCUUACACCUGAGAGCUAUCACUUAUCUUGUGCUGACAUAAUAAAUACCAGACAUUGUAGCAAAAUGCGGCAACCCUGCAGUCCUGUAUCAUCAAUGUUGUAGAUUCUUACUGAACAACUUUGCCAUAAGCAGUUUAAAAUUAUUUCACAUUGUCAUCAUGCAUUGAGAGUAAUGCCUCAAGAAUUGGCCUGUU